GAUGAACGCUGGCGGCAUGCCUAACACAUGCAAGUCGGACGGGAAGUGGUUUUUCCCGUGGCGGACGGGUGAGUAACUCGUAAGAACCUGCCCUUUGGAGGGGAACAACAGUUGGAAAGGGCUGUUAAUACCCCGUAGUCUGGGGAGCAAAAGGGAGAACCCGCCCGAGGAGGGGCUCGCGCAUGGUUAGCUAGUUGGUGAGGCAAUAGCUUACCAAGGCGAUGAUCAGGAGCUGGUCGGAGAGGAUGAUCAGCCACACUGGGACUGGAACCCGGCGCAGAGACCUUCGGGCGACGGCCGCGAGGCAUAUUCCGCCAUGGGGGGAAGCCUGAGAGGGCCUUGCGGCGUGGAAGUAGAAGGGCCGCGAGUGGUGAACUUCUUUUCCCGGAGAAGAAGCAAUGACGGUAUCUGGAGAAUAAGCACCGGCUAACUCCGUG
rnacentral:rRNA from 1 species